rnacentral:lncRNA from 1 species
UCAAAAAUUGAGAUAAAGAUUUUGGAAAACAUAGAUACAUGUACAUCAUCGCUUAGCACUUUGAGAAAGAGAUAAUAAUAGAAUCAUAUUUACCCCAAACUAAUUCAUGGGUGAUUGAUGAAAACAUCAACCAUUGUUUCAUUUCAUAAAGCAACACUGGGUGAGCACUAAAUAGACGGAACCAAAUGAUGUGAGGUUCAUGAUGGGUUCAUCGUUUCCAUUCAGUUUACACACCAUACGAAGAGGAAAAAGAAGUUAUUAAAAAAGUACAAGCGAUGCCGUCAGUUGGAUAUAAAGAAACGAGAGCUAGUACGUAUUACCACACCACCACAAUUUAACCCGAUUAGGCAAACAUCAAGAGUCCUGCAAAGACCGAAUCAAUCGGUACAUGUCUCGCUGAAAAACUUUAUAGUUGAAUGUUGUCUCCAUUUCUUGUGAUAUGAGUUUCAAGUUUUGAUCUUUUUUAAAAUCGUCAUCAAUCAUUUCAUCAUUUCAUCUUUUUGUUUGUUUGUUUUUUUAAUUUUUAAACAAUAUCGAACUUUAAUUACUGGAGUUCAGCCGACUGGAGAUGUAAAAGUCUUUAUCGUUUUUUGUUGACAAUCAUACUCGAAAAAAAAGAAAUCAAAUCAGAAUUGAACACGAAGUAUGACCCGAAUUGCUCUAGUACACGUGAUGUCGUCAUGGCAAGAAAUUUUGGUGAUGUGGGUCUACUAAUCCAAUAAUAGCGACUUCCUUACUUAUUAAGAGACUUGAAGGCAGUUCAAAAUACCUGUGUCUGCUCACAUAUGCAGCUUCCGGAAUCUGUUUUCAUCCUACAUAUUCUUACCCUUCUACUACUCAUUCACUUUAUGUUUACCCUAGCAAAAUGAAGUAACAUUGUUUAAAAAGAAUUGGUCGAUAGCAUCAAGACUAUCAAGCUUAAAUACAUUCAGUAACGAAAUUAGUCAUAUAAAGUCUUUCGUAAUACACAAAUUUUUUAGCGCACACGUUAUUACUGCUUAAAGCUCGUUUCUCUUCAUCCAUUUUACACAGGUAGUGUGAUCACGAAGAAUUACUAAUAAAACAUUGAGGCGUUAUGAGAUCUAUGUCGCUUCGCAAAACUGUAUCUUAGUACGACAUAAAGUUGCUUUUGGACUUGAACGUUGACUAAAUAAAUGUGUUGCCUGAUUGUACAUGAUAUAUUAUCAGCUUUGUCAAGGGAAAAACCGAGACCGAAGAAAGUUAAAACUGAGAGAAAUUCUAGAUAUGCUACUAUAAGUGCUCUUUGUCAUGAGAGAAACAUGAUUCUACGUGUCUGAUUCACGCAAAGGAUGCAUCAAUAUACCUUCUUUUAAUUACAGGAUGAUGCAUUUUUAAUUUGUUAUUGUUGUGAAUUCUAUGUCAACUGUUUGCUAAUAUAGGCGGCGCAGAGAUAUGAAAACCAAACCGUGACAAUACACCUAAGCUAAAAGGUCAACGCACGCCUAAACUAGCAGCUCAACUCAUGAUUGGACUAAUAAUUUAAAACUAAAACUAAAACCUAAACCUAUUUUACAAAUAAAACUCAUAAUUAGGCUAACAACCCUACCCAUCAACUAACGACUUGACGGUAUGCUAUUCCUUCUUUUUUUUAAAGCUUCACUACCAUCGAAAUAUAUAUAACAGUAGUAAAAUUGUAAACUUUUAUUUUUAUACCAUAGUAGUAUGGCUAUGAUUGGAAGGUUGUAGUGUCAGUCAAGUUGGAAAAACUGUUGGCACUUUUUUUCUGAAUCAAUGGAAUUCUUAUCAAACACAUGCAAACGUAUAAAGAAGACUUGAAUAGAUAAUCUUUGAAUUCAAACAAAUCCUAGUCAACUGAACAACGCAUCUACCUCAGCAGUCCUUGGGAAAUGUAUAAAUAGGCAAGCAUUAAACUUUUAUAUAUAAAACCAUCAAGAUCUCUAUUUUUAACUCGGUGGUUUCUUUCACAAGACUUACUUCAAGAACGACAACACAUCCUGACAGUUAAUUCAUUAAUACUAAUACUAUCGAGGAUUCUGUCAUCCAAGUGGAAUGAACAUGGGCAUCAAAGGAAUGUUUCCUCAAAGUGAGAACUAUAGUGUUGCAAGCGAAUACUUGGUCGCUUAGAACAAAACGAAUUACUGUCAUUAGGAUAUGCUCAAAAGUGUGGCGCUAUAUCUUGUAUCUAUUGCUACGUUCAUUCAUUGAUCCAACAGCAUGGGUAUAGAAAGAAGACGAUAAGCAGGAGUUGCGCAAACGAAGUUAUGGAGUUUCUUGCAUGCAUGCAUGUUUUGGCAUAAAGCUGGUACUUCGAAAUAUGCCUAUGAAAUCUCUACCUGCUUUGCACCCUAAAUAUAACGUGUCGUCUUGUAGCUGCAUGUGAAUUACAACGAUUGAUAGAUGAAAAACAAAUCGACUUGUUGCCCAUUUCAUCGUUUCAAACGACUGGUAGUGUUGCUUGUGUCCAUAUCCAUGCUGUGUCCAUAUCCAUACUAUGUCCAUGUGUUUUGCUUUAUUACACUUGGUCAAAGAAAUCUAUAUGAUGUUCUUUACGAAACCCACAAAGUCAUUAGGGAUAUCAUUCGAACAGAAGGGUAUGUAUGCAAAAUACACUACAAGGACUAAGCCCAAGCACCGUAUUGUUUCAGUCUCGAAGUAAUUCUAUGUACCCGUGCAUUGGAGAUGCGUUUAAUUAACAUGGUGCGAUUGGACUUGAGUGAGCUGACAGCACUGUAUGAGGGUCUGUUUGCCAAGAUUCAGGACUUGUUGAAAGAGUUAUUACAACUACAACUAUAACUAUAACUACAACUAUAACUACAACGAUAAGAACUAUCACUACUCUGAAGACAACGAUGUGUUUUCUCAAGAUGAUAACGGAUCUAGCUUCGCCAUCAAUAAGUAUGAGACAAAGGAGUCCAUCUUUGAUGAAACAUCCAUUUUCCUGUUGUACAUUUUUGCAGGACAACUAGCCUGAGCACAAGAGACAUGGUGUACUAGACCUUGUGCGGAAUGUCUACUUCAAAACUUGCAUCUUUAUAUCUGAUAUAUAGAGAUAUAGAGAUAUAGAGAUAUAGAGAGAGGCUGAUGAUUUAUAAACACAAACGAUAAGACUUGUAACAUGAAGUUUAUCGAAAAAGUCAAUCUUUAAAUUCCUUUCUGAACCUCUCUGUUAUGUCAGUGCUUCGGUACCAUGCUUUUAGUGCGGUCAUUUAAAGGCAUAGCGAUGAUAGUUCUAAAGUUACUGUAUUGAUCAAUUGGAAGAACAUCCAAAUAAAAAAAAGCAUGCAAAAUGCUAGUAUUAUCAGUAACUGCAAAUAAAAAAAGAUAACAAAAAUUUACAGGAUCAUCGAGAAGAGUAGAUACUGAUAAUAUUGAGAUCCACAGCACUCAACAACAGUCUUGGAUUUAUUUAGCCAUUUGCUUAACUUACUGUCUCAACAAUAUUGUUGUUUGGCAUCGCCAUAAAUAUAUGACCUAGAAGUAAAAUUCGUGUUGUCGAAACAAUUCCAAUCGGUUCACUUUUCUCUUUCAAAAGUAUAUCGAAGUAGGAAUGAUGUACUCCCAACUGCGGAUGGAAAAAGUUCUUUAUCGAUUUUAAUAUCUGGUGUUGUGGAAAAAAACGAAAUACGAUCAAAAUUGAGAAAAUUAAGAAAGAAUAUGAAUAUGGUUUUACUUAUUUUACUACCCAUGAUGUCGUUGGUUAAAAACAUGAUGUUAAGGGUGAACCGCAGCAUAUUGGUCGUUUUUAAUUAAGGAAUUGAAUGACUUUCAAAGAUGCACAGUAAUCCUUCCUUAAUCACCAUUUUAGAUUUAUUAAUUUCAACAUACGCUCUCCAUGUACUUGGAAUCGAAUUGAGAACUUGUUAUGCCACAAAUGAAUAUCUUUUUAUUGAGUAACAUCGUUAAUAAAGCAAAUGCUUCACGGUAUUUUUUGAAAUCUUUGACAGUAUUUGUUCAGCUGGGAUGGAUGAUAAUUUGACGAGGCACAUUCCUUAUACGCAAACGAAAGAUACAAUUUCGCUUUGGCAAAACAUUGCAAAUGUUGCAAUUGUCCCAAUUAUAUAUGCAUCAUUAAAUUUGCUUAGCAUUACUUUUUCCUUGGUAGUUACAUUCAGUGCCAAACAACCGCUUUAACCUUUCAUACAAAACUUUUGUGUAUUCACAGAAGCAUCCACUGGGCGGGAAACCAUUUUUCUUGUUUCUGCAUGUAUUCUUAGAAGAGAUUUAAGCUUUCCCUUGAAUUUUCGAAUGUUGAUAAAAACAAAAUAAUAGACUUUGGAAAGGUGAUUCAAUGAAUAAACAUGAAACGUUCACCGUACAUUAAUUAAGCAUCCUUUUCGACCACCCUGACUUGUUCUCUCAUCACAUCUUGAUAACCAUUUACACGAGAGAUUUAAAUGAAGAAGAAUGAAAAAUUCACUUUGACGAGUCUUGGAACCCCUAACUUGGAAAGGCACAGAUCAUGAUUGCUACAAAAGCAUUUGCACUCGGUUUCAGCUAUAGGAAGUGUGAUUGGUCGUACAUGAUGGAUUGACAUUCUCGUCUAUUUGGAUCACAUACAGAAGACAAGCCAAGUCAGAGCAGACAAUACGUAUGCGAUUGAGACAUUAUUUUUGUGAAAUUUAUGAUUCUUCCACAUGUUUGAAUGAUGUAGAAGAUGUACAGGAAACUUUUAAUGAUGAUACGAUAUCGGUUCAAUCACAAUUCAUAAGCGAAACGAAUGCCAAAUACUAAUACUAUAUAUCCAUGAAUCAUUUACCAAUAGUAUUUUUACUGUUCGUGAAUGCUGAGAAAGUUUAUGUCUAAUGUAUUAGCUGUGUCAACCAUUUAUAGUGUGAAGCCACUUUCCACUUGCAACGCUAAGGAUACCUAGACGCACAAAUACAUUAUGCUAGUGGCACGGCCAAAAUUAUUUACUCCAAAGUCUUUAUCCUCUUCGUUUAUAUCGCUAACAAGAAAUCGUAGUCACAAAUGUACAUACGUUGAAACAUUUGAACAACGUACAACAAGCCAAUAAUGACAAGAAUGGAGAUGAAAGUGGUGAUGGUUAGUGGUAGUCGUGGUAGUAAUGGAAGUGGUAAGUGGAAGUGGUGGUGGUGGUGGUAGUGCUUGUGGUAAGUGGAAGUGGUAGUGGUAGUGGUGCUGUGCUGAUGCUGGCGCCGAUACUGGUGAUGAUGUUGAUGCCUAUACUGACACUAGUACUGACACUAGAUGACACUAGUACUGGUACUAAUGGUACCAUUCAACUUGGCAAGUAUAAGACUUAUGUGUGUAAGUGGUAAAAAAUCAAUGAGUAAACUCCACUAAGAAAAUUUCACAACUCCGUUGAUUCUUUUGAGUAUACAAACAUGAACGUUCAAGUUUUACCUUUGUUAAUUCAAUUCUAAUUAUACUGGUUUGUACUUGCUAAGCAUGUCCUGUUCACUUAUCUAAUUCGUUUCAAUUGCGGCAACUCUGGUCCGAUUUAUAAUUCGAAGGACUGAGUUUUUACCCUUUGGAUAAAGUUUUUCAACAUACUUACAAUGAUUAUGGUCUCCACUCCUGACGUAGGUCCAUGUGGUAAUAGAACACAAACUUCAAAAUCUCAUCACUAUAUUAUACUUGGUACAACAUGCAAUACCGAUUGUAUAUACCGAAUACAGUUUCCUAUUGCAAUGAAUGUGAUUUAAUCAUUUUAUGGGAGUUUUUUCAUUCAAAACUGCUUUAAAUCUAAAAACUCUUCUUUAUUCUUGACACUCGUAUAUGUUGUCUGAUAUUCCUAUUCGUGUUUCAAUAACGAAGUUUACUUUCAUUCAAAUAAAUAGAACCAAUCAAGUUUACUAGUGCUUAUUUUUUUCUUUUUUAAUAAAAAGAAUGAAUAUUAGGUGUAUGAUAUGAAUACGUUUUUGUUUGUUUGUUUGCAAAUUAAAAUUAAAAACAACAAAAAAUUAAAGCUACUGAUUUAACUUUGCUUAUUCCAUAACACUUCUUACUCAAUCUCACAUAACCGUUGCAUU